rnacentral:rRNA from 1 species
CAGGGAUUGCCCCAGUAACGGCGAGUGAAGCGGCAACAGCUCAAAUUUGAAAUCUGGCCUUCGGGUCCGAGUUGUAAUUUGGAGAGGAUGCUUUUGGCGCGGCGCCGUCCGAGUUCCUUGGAACAGGACGCCAUAGAGGGUGAGAGCCCCGUACGGGCGGCCGCCUAGCCUCUGUAAAGCUCCUUCGACGAGUCGAGUAGUUUGGGAAUGCUGCUCAAAAUGGGAGGUAAAUUUCUUCUAAAGCUAAAUACUGGCCAGAGACCGAUAGCGCACAAGUAGAGUGAUCGAAAGAUGAAAAGCACUUUGAAAAGAGGGUUAAAAAGUACGUGAAAUUGUUGAAAGGGAAGCGCCUGUGACCAGACUUGCGGCCCGUGGAUCAUCCGGUGUUCUUCACCGGUGCACUCCGCGGGCUG